ensembl:lncRNA
CAACAGUCUCCUCUUGAAUGAGCUGGAGCAGGAGGGCAGAUGGUUAAAUACUACUUUCAUUACUGAAAAAUUAGAUUAGCAAGGCUAAGAGUCUCCUGGUAACUGAUACCUGGGCUGUGUUUGCCAAGCGGUGAUAACAUGGUCAUAUCAGCCUGCAAAGCUACCAGACAAAGCCACGGGAAGUAGCAGCACUCGUUACCGCCUGCAAGUAAUGCCGGAGUACGGCAGUAUCUAGAGAAGCCACUGCAGCUUCUGCUGUCACUGCAAUGAAGAAGCUGAUGCCCACCUUCACUGUUGCUGAAAGAAGAAUUUUGGGAAGAGCAGUAUGGGACGUAUUAGUUGAGCAAGCCCUCUUCCACUCCUCUUCCCUGGCAGAAGUCACCCAGCCUCAAGGAAUGCUUUCCACGUCGUGUGUAACAAGUUAUUCCCUUCAGCAAGCCAAAAAGACGUCAGCCCAAAGCAUGACAGGACUCAAGUUGUGCCAGCUACAGCAAGGGGCAGCAUGGAGGCCGUACCUAGUGAAAAGGGAGACCUGCUAAUGACAGAAAUGGGCUUGUUUCUCAUCUACAUGUUCCUCCGCAUUGCUCAAAAUCACUCUUGGGUACAAAACUUCCUCAUUGUAUGGCUUAGAGACUCAAGGAAAGGCCAGCAAAUGAUGCCGCCUGGUGUGUUCCUUGUCAUGUUUAUUAUGGACCUGUCUGUCUGCAAUGAAAAUCUGAUGCCUGAGACUCACUCACCUGAGAUACUCCCUUGCAGGGGAUGCAGGGGAAAAUCUAUGGCUUGCUCCUCUGUCAGGACGAAUAGUGGUAUGGAUGAAGAAGUCUUGGGUGCCGUGGGAUACUCUGAGAGAACUGGCUCACUGUCAAUCAUACUAGGAAUGGUGAACAUAUGGGCUGCUUUAGAGCAAAUAUGGCUGCAUUCCCAGCCCAAGGCACUGCAGAAAAUGGUACAAUAUUUCUACAGUGAGAUUUUUUCCCUACCAAGACAAUGCUGAAUUCUGUCUUUAGGAGCCUCCCACCCCUUUAAGCACACUGCAAACUGAGCACAUCUCUUAUUUGCUUCAGAUUGCACGGUGCCCAGAAACUGUAAUUGCUGUAAGCCAGACUCACGCAGCAGCAGCACUCCCAUGGUGGCAUGGCUUGCUCCCGUGCCCUGGCCUCAAGGAGAGACAGCAGCAACCUUAAUGGGAUCGAGGACAGGGAUGGGGCAGCUACUGGGUGCAAGGAUGCACCAUCAUGUGGGACAACUCCUUCCCUCUCCCUCCUUCUCCUGGCAUUGGGUUGGAGAGCAGGGAUGAGCUGUAAGGCGGAUGGGGUAAACGCAAGGCCACAAAUGCUGUUAGGCAAAAAGAGAUGCCAGCAGGGCUUCCGAUGCUGCCCCCAAACAGGACACCGGAGCAUUUCUCUGCUGCUGAGGUGUUCAGUGGUCCUGCUUUCACUGCCACCAUUUGGAGCUCUAGCUCGGGAAAGACUGUGGCUCUUUGACAGGUUGCAGAGAGGCAACUUGGAAAGAGAUCAGAGCACCAAUCUCGAACCUUUUUAAAAACUGGCCAUUAAAAUCAUGGCGUAAGCCCCUCAUUCCUCAAUCCCUUUGAAAUCCUGCCCCCUUAGGCUGAUGCACACAUGCUGCUCCUCCUGGCUGUGUGUGGAGACUGCUUCCUGGGGCUCUCCCUGCCAGCACAGGUACAAUUUUUGAAAGGUGACAGCUCCUCCCGGCUCACCUGGGAAAGAGGCCCCCAACAAAUGGCUUUGAACAAGAAACCCUUCUAAAGUAAAAUGCAAUACUCCAUAGCACCGGCUGGCCUCUCUGCCUCUAACUCUUUUUAGCUCUCCCCUUCCCUGCCCUAGGCCCGGUGGCAUGGGGCACAAGCACUCAUGCCCACGUGAUGCAGAGGUUGCAUGACUAUGGCUGUGGCUAGAUAGAUUGGGGCUAGUUUUGCUUUGGUCUGCGAUUUGGUUUGUUUUUUUUUUUUUUUCCAUCUUAUCAGUCACAGC